UGUGGGAGCUGGCUUGCCAGCGAUGGCGGUGGAUCAGUCACCUGUUUUGCAACUGAUUGAUCGCAUCGCUGGCAAGCCAGCUCCCACA
rnacentral:misc_RNA from 1 species